GACGAACGCUGGCGGCGUGCCUAAUACAUGCAAGUCGAACGGAGUGGCGAACGGGUGAGUAAUGUAUCGGAACGUGCCCAGUAGCGGGGGAUAACUACGCGAAAGGGUAGCUAAUACCGCAUACUGUUAGAGCGGCCGAUAUCGGAUUAGCUAGUUGGUGGGGUAACGGCUCACCAAGGCGACGAUCCGUAGCUGGUUUGAGAGGACGACCAGCUACACUGUGACUGAGACACGGCCCAGACUCCUACGGGAGGCAGCAGUUGGGAAUUGUGGACAAGGGGGGAAACCCUGAUCCAGCCAUCCCGCGUGUGCGAUGAAGGCCUUCGGGUUGUAAAGCACUUUUGGCAGGAAAGCGGUACCUGUAGAAUAAGCACUGGCUAACUACGUGCCAGCAGCCGCGGUAAUAC
rnacentral:rRNA from 1 species